rnacentral:rRNA from 1 species
AUUGAACGCUGGCGGCAGGCCUAACACAUGCAAGUCGAGCGGAUGAACGGAGAGUGCUCCCGGAUUCAGGUGGCGACGGGCGGGUGAGUCAUAGGUAUCUGCCUGGCUACUUUGGCUAGGGUCAGAACGCGGGGGCUAAUACGGCAUACGCGCAUAGGACGAACGGGUGGGAUCAUCGGACCUCACGCUAUUAGAUGAUCCUAGGUCGGAUUAGCUAGUUGGUGGGGUAAAGGCCUACCAAGGCGACGAUCCGUAGCUGGUCUGAGAGGAUGAUCAGACACACUGGAACUGAGACACGGUCCAGACUCCUACGGGAGGCAGCAGUGGGGAAUAUUGGACAAUGGGCGAAAGCCUGAUCCAGCCAUGCCGCGUGUGUGAAGAAGGUCUUCGGAUUGUAAAGCCCUUUUAUUUGGGAAGAAGAGCAGUAGGUUAAUACCUCGCUGUUUUGACGGUACCAAAAGAAUAAGCACCGGCUAACUUCGUG